rnacentral:piRNA from 1 species
UCGGAACCCUGUCUUUACUUUGGUCUGAUC